rnacentral:sRNA from 1 species
GGCGAAGAAGUGACCAUCCCGCCUCGUGUCUGUGUCCGUCCCUCAGGGCCAGCGGCUCCAGGGCCAGCCACGAUGUCCUCCACCGUGAACAACGGGGCGGCCAGCAUGCCGUCCCCACCUGACGCCGCGAACGGCUUCCCGCAGCCCAGCGCCUCCUCGGGGACCUGGCCGCGGGCGGAGGAGGAGCUGCGCGCCGCGGAGCCGGGCCUGGUGAAGCGCGCGCACCGCGAGAUCCUGGACCACGAGCGCAAGCGGCGGGUGGAGCUCAAGUGCAUGGAGCUACAGGAGAUGAUGGAGGAGCAGGGGUAUUCGGAGGAGGAGAUUCGGCAGAAAGUGGGGACAUUCCGGCAGAUGCUGAUGGAGAAGGAGGGAGUGCUCACCAGGGAGGACCGGCCUGGGGGCCACAUUGUGGCGGAGACCCCGCGGCUGACCGAGGGCGCUGAGCCGGGCCUGGAGUACGCGCCCUUUGACGAUGACGACGGCCCAGUGGACUGUGACUGCCCGGCCGCCUGCUACCGCGGCCACCGCGGGUACAG